rnacentral:rRNA from 1 species
GACGAACGCUGGCGGCGUGCUUAAUACAUGCAAGUCGAACGGAAAGGCCCUGCUUUUGCGGGGCGCUCGAUUGGCGAACGGGUGUGUAACACGUGAGUAUCCCGCCCCUGACUUUGGGAGAACUUUAGGAAACUCGGGCUAAUGCCGGAUAGGAGCUCCUGCUGCACGGUGGGGGUUGGAAAGUUUCGGCGGUUGGGGAUGGACUCGCGGCUUAUCCGCUUGUUGGUGGGGUAGUGGCGUACCAAGGCUAUGACGGGUAGCCGGCCUGGGAGGGUGGCCGGCCACAAUAGGACUGAGAUACGCCCCAGUCGGCUACGGGACGCAGCAGUCGGAAGUAUUGCGCAAUGGGCGGAAGCCUGUUACGGCGACGCCCGGUGCGGGAUGACGGCCUUCGGGGUGUAAACCGCUUUCGCCUGUGACGAAGCGGGAGUGACGGUAAUGGGUAAAGAAGCACCGGCUAACUACGUG